rnacentral:tRNA from 1 species
AACCUUAUAUUCAAUUAUGAUUUUAGAUUGCAAAUCUAAAAGUGCUAUUAAGCUAAGGUUU